rnacentral:antisense_RNA from 1 species
CUUCACCGAGCCGAGCCACAGGGGGCGGCCGGUCGGGCGGUCCUGGCCGUACGUGGCGAGCAGUGCCUGCGCCUC